rnacentral:rRNA from 1 species
UACGUAGGGUGCGAGCGUUAAUCGGAAUUACUGGGCGUAAAGCGUGCGUAGGCGGUUUUGUAAGUCAGAUGUGAAAUCCCCGGGCUUAACCUGGGAACUGCGUUUGAAACUACAAAGCUAGAGUGUGGCAGAGGGGGGUGGAAUUCCACGUGUAGCAGUGAAAUGCGUAGAUAUGUGGAGGAGCACCGAUGGCGAAGGCAACCCCCUGGGCCAACACUGACGCUGAGGCACGAAAGCGUGGGGAGCAAACAGG